UGUCAUUGUUGCUCUUCGGAUUAAGCCUCAAGAGACUAUUUCCAGGACUGGAGCUGCAAUCUGUCACUCAUGCCCAGCUUCUAGGUGUGUAAAAAGCAAGAAGGAAGGACAUACUGAGCCUCCCCAAAUCCUCAUGUUGGUGUGUCCUUUUUCAUCAAGUAUUUAGAACAUCAAAGUAUCUAGAGUUAAUCCUGCAACUCUUCCUGCAGGACAAAGACGUCUCUGAGUCAAUUGCACACAGAAAAGAACUUCUUCCCCUCCAAAAUAGGGAGGUGCUUUAUUGCAGAAACUCUGCUAAACACACACACUUCCAGCAACCCACUGAAAUCAGAGAACAAUGACAGGGACUAUAUUUAUGGGUUUUUUUACCUCUCACCUCUUUGGCAAAAGGAGAGUGGGUGGAGACAGACACUUUGGCUCCACAUUCACCUAAAAGCCCUUUCAAAUGCCCGGCGCAUUGAGCAACACGGAGGCAGCAGUUUCUAUCUUCAUUUCUGUGUGUUGACAGGGAGAGAGGAGAAUUUUAACUGGAUCAGCUCGUUUCCUGUGGUGAGGCACAGUUUGCAUGGGUGUAGCAGUAGCGAGGUGGAUGCAGAGCUGUGAAUGACGGCUGCUGCAACACAGGGAAGCAGCAGCAAACUUGGCCACGUUUUCAUGUGGAUGAGCUGAUAGCUAUUGCUGCAAAUCCCAAACUGAAUCCAAACCUGAGGCCACUGCAUUAAAGUAGUGUGAAUCUCCUGGUCUGGCUCACACCAUCCCGUGAAGCACAAGAGAUCACCUGCACGAAUGGAAAGGUGUUGGAUCUCCAAGGACUUUCCAAGGAAGGAAAAGGAUUGUUUGGUGAGAUUCCAGCCCAAACCACUUCCAUACAGGGCCUGUGAAUGAAGUCUGUACCAUGAUGUCCUGUCCAUCUCUGAUUUUUGCACCAUUUCUCCACUGAAAGUGCAGGAGUUCAGAGGUAUUCAUCAGAGGGAAAACCAAGCAAUUUUCUCCCUUUCAGAAAUUAGCUGGGGAUGUCCAUUCUAUUACUAGUGAUGUUCACAUUUCAAGCAAAACUACAGGAAACCAACCAGCUCCUGGUUACAUCCAGCUCUCCUGCUGGCAGAGCUGGGGCAGAGAUGCUGUCAUUGCUCUGGCACAGCCAAAAUGCUCCUGGAGGUCACUGCUGCAAGAAGAGCACAGCAAAAGGGAGAGGUUCAUGGGAAAACAGAGCUCACACUGCAAUGGAUCUGGUGGUCAGGUUAGUUUGAGAAGCUGUGCUGCAAAGGCUCUAUAUCAGCCAAUUUCUUCAGCUUGUCAGAUCAAUUUGGAUUCCAGCCUGUCCUCCAAUUUGACAGCAAUCUCUGCGGUAUCAUAGAAUCUGUAGCUGUAGUAAGCGUAUUUUAUAUUUCAUCACCUAGCCCACUAAAUGGAAAAAAACCCAAUAUGUAAAAGACAGAACCUGUCACAAGUGAGUUUUGAAUUUGAGAUAUCUUUGGAUUUUAAUGCUGAAACACUAAACUUGCCCUUUGGUAUGUUAGGCACCUAUCUUACGGUAUUUCUCCAUAGGAGAAAUUACAAAAGGAGAUGACAAAAAAAGUCAGUGAGGUCAAGCUGGACAGUCCUGAAAGACGAUAAGGUAAACAUAGCAGCCUUCUGGCAGUUCUCUGCCCUUUGCCAUACCUGUGUGGUCACAGUGGGGAAGGCAUCACCCAGGCUGCCACAGAGAUCUGAGGUGCUCAUGACUCGGAAGAGGUUUAGACAAAUUCUUGGAGGAUGUUGCUGUUCAAAAUUACUUGAAAGCCACCUGCUGUAGAGAGACCCUGAUGAUGGCUAGAGGCUGAGGGGUAGAGUAGAGACUGCCUAGCAUUACUUAAAAAUACAUUUUCAUGGGUCAUCUAUUAAUUGGGUUAAUAUCCACUUGUGGCAGAUAAUGAAAGUGGUCAUGCUUUAGUAUAGAUUUGUCUGGCAGGUGCUGAAAACCAAACACCCAGUGGAGUUUGAGAAAUAUCCUCAAUUCAAGCACUGAUAUUUUGCUGUGUCCUCUUUAAAAGUUCCACACCACUUAUAUAAUGCACAAUGUUAUGUGCAAGUUGGUAGUUCUCACUAUGAAAAGGCGAUACCUUGAUUUCUAUUAUGUUUAAGUGGAUUUUUCUUUUCUGUAAAACUGUAAGCCAGAAACAUGAUUGAAAGGCCAGAGUAAGGUAACAAAUGUUAAUUUUCUUGUAUGGUAUGUUAUAGGUUGUAAGUGAAAGCCAGAAAUCAGAAGCUUUUCAAUUUGACACAUAAUGAUUGCCCUUAGAUACUGGCCUGCUUUAUUUACAAGAUGUUAAAAAUUACAUUGUGAAUACUCAUAUGAUCAUAAUAAAAUGAUUGCCUGUAGAAGUGUGAAUUCCAUUUAGCCUUCACAAAGAAGCAUUUAGUGGGCUUUGUACUGCGUGGGCAUGACCUUAGAAAAGGCCUAUCAUUUGACUAUGAAAACAUGGCUUAGUUCCAGUGCUAACAACAUCGCUCUGCUAAAAUAACUUUGGUGGGCACAAUGACCUAUAAUUUUUGUAACACCACUGAAAAAAGUGUUUUCUUUACAGUAGUGUUAAUUGUGUACAGGGUUGAUUUUUUGUAUAUAUUAAUAAUAUUGGUUUGAUUAGCUAUUUUUAACAAAACUGUGAAUUGUGAACAAGCAUCUCUGGAUGUCUCUUUCAGUGUAGGGUGAAAACACUCAGGUCCCACAUUAGCAGUGUUCUGUACUCAAUUCUACUAUCUCACCAUUUAGUUUUUUUAUGGGAAUCUCAACAGAGCAACCAGAGCCACAUCAGUAAUAUACUAUCAAAUGGUACAAAAAUAUGAUAAUGACGAAAAUAUGACAGUGUUCACUCAGAGUUAUAACCUGAAAAAGGUACCAGUGGGAUAGAAAUUGUUCCUCUGACCCUGUUCCCGCUCACCCUGGUUACAGAGCAAUUUAACUCUGAAUACCUCAGCAGUAAUUCCUGAUUUUCACCAGAGUGAAUUUGGCCCAGGGAAUAAUAUAUUUGCCCUCAGUUCACACUGACUGUUACCUUUUCUUUACUUCAGCUGACAUGUAUGAUGAGACCGACUAUUUUCUAGGCUGUAUCCUCUAACUUAUGUCACCACUGACGGCAAUAAAAUGAAGAAUGUAAAAUGCGGCCAUUUCAGCUGAAUUGUGAGCUAUGACUGCAUGAGGUUAAGGGCUCAUGACAUGUAUGCAUGCUUGCUGCAAACAUUACAGAAGAGGUGUUUUUGUAUCAACUCCAAAAAAUUUGGAUGAGAGCAAGUGCCUUUUUCACUUUUUGGUUCUGUUUGCCUUGACAUGAUUCUGCUUCCAAAACCCCAAAGGAAAAUAUUUCAAAAAAGAGACAGUCUUCAGUGAUUAAACUGUCAUGAAACAGAGAUGAAGUUGGUGGGAUUGAUUGGCUCUCACUGUUCCUUGACGCAGCUGUGGCUUGGAAGAGCAGGACUGGUUAUGAGUCAAUCUGACUAGUAUGGGAUCAAGCCAGAGGUCAGGGGAACCAGCUAGUUAGAGGAGCACACGCAGCUAUUUUCUCCUUCAGGUUUUCUUUUUUUAAUACUGGUGAUUUGUGACACUUACAGAGGGAAGAAAGUGCCCCCAGCAUGGUCUUCAUCAUCAUGGACCCUCGUUACUUGGAGUGAUGCUGCUGGGGUCCAGCACCUCCAACCCUCACCUUCAGCAGGGCCAAUGCAAGGACCUGAAGGAACUCUUUGCAAGACAGUCAAAGCCUGGGGAGCCACCCUGGUUUCCUAGGUUACUUGAGCAGACAGCCCAUGACCUUAUUUUAGGGGAUUCCUACAUGGCUAAAUUACUGAAGCAACUGAAAAUCAGGGAAAACAUUGGUAAAGGUGAUAUCUGUCAUUCCAUAUUCUGGCUCUACCCCAUUUUCUUCUUUGCACUUUAUUUUAUCCACCCUGAAGGAGCUGUGUCUCAGCCUCAUCAGAUGGUGUCCUUGUGUAACAGCAAAGAGGCUUCAACUGUUGACUUUGAGACAUGAUGUUCUGUUGAAAAGUGAAGGAACUGUACUAUGGAGAUAAAUUUUUGUCUCAGUUCACUAAACUCCAUGAUUUGUUGACAAGCAAAUGAUGUCAUGAAGCCUAUUGGUUCUACCUAAGGGGCACAAUGCGCAAGAAGGUACUGGUGACUUCUUCUCUUACAAAGGUUCGAAAGGAUCUGGAAAGACAGUUGCAUGCUGAUAUGAAGAGUGCUUUGAACACAAACACAUAUCACAGCAAAGUUUAAAGAAACUUCAAACUUCUGAACUAAUAAAGUAAAACUGGAAUGAUGUGCAUACCAAUAAAGGCAAGAAACUUUGCCUUUAGUGAAGUUUAGUGAAAGAAACCCAAGUGGCAUGGCUUAGUGAUCUUUCUGUGCUUUCUGUGUAGGAGAAUCCUUAAACAGGCAUGAAUUCACUCUCUAGCUGGAUUUUGUUAGAUUUUAGGAAGAAACUCAGCUAGGGCUGACCCAGACUGAUGCUGCCUAAAUUGAAUCUAAACUGUAGCUUCCAUAAAUCAUGUUAGCAGAUUAAAGUUACUGUAGGCACCAGGCUGCAAAUUAGCUACUGAAGUAGAGGGCUGUGAGUUUAAGAAUCUGACUGGGAACACCCAUCCCAUAUUACAUGUAUUUGGCAAUAAGCCUCUGUUAAGGGACCAAAGAAAACAACACAGUCAUGACUGAUCAAGUGGAAGAGAAGUAAUACAAAACACCCAUCAGUUUUGUUGCUUCUAGAAUAUUCUGGAAGGAUUAAGGACAUGAAAGGUAGUCAAAAGAGUCUGAAUCUUGCCUUUUAGUAAAUAGUCACUCUUCUGCUGGUGCAGUUCCUAGGUUUUGCAGUAUUCCUGAAACCAUUUUCUCAAGUUCUUUGGGCAGAUUCAGGCUCAUACACAUUUUUUUCAGCAGUAGGCCACUCCCAUUGUUCACUAUAGGGGCCCAGUUUGAAAGGUUAAUUGUGAAUGCCAUGUUAUAAUCAUCCACAUCUAUAUCAAUUAGCUUUAAUGGUUGCCUGUGCUUAAUAUGUAGAGUUCACCUUUGCAUUUAACACGCUCCUAAACUACCUGUAAUUCCUCUCUAAGCAUCCUCUCUUCCCACAAUUACCUGGUUUCCUUCAGUACUCCUUCACCAUAACCUUUAUACUGUGCUUGUUGUUUUCUUCUCACAUAGUCCAAUAGGCUUAUGGUACACUCUCUGUUUUAGUACAGCCUGUUUCUUGUGCUUGGAAAAGCUGCAAACAAACGGCAUAUUUAUUAUGUUGGGACGAAUGAAUGUGGAACAUCACAUUAAUCUCUAAGUACAAAACUUUUCAUUUUUAUUGGAAAUAUAUGUGGCAUGAAAACCAGAGAGACUGAAGAUUGUUUGAGGGUGGUUAUUGAACAGCAUAUAAAUAGCUGUUGGGAGCAAAUUCUGUCAUGACAGCAUCUUGUGAUGUACUUUGUGCAGUUAAAUGGUCACACUGCAAUGCUGGCUAAAGUUAAGGGGGACUUUCUCCUGGAAAAUGAAGUUUCUAUUAAAAACCCCAAGCACUUUGAAUAAUUGCUAACAAUAACCUGGACUAUAGUACUUCAAUUGUACAGUUCAGGAACAUUAAACCUCUUAACCUUUGAGUUGCCUACUUGAUUUUAAAUGAAUAUGGUACUUAAGAUGAUAACAACUGUGCAGCUUCAUUCUUUAUUAAGGACACACAUGAUUUCUCCCUCGCACAUUAACACUCUCAUUAUAAUAAUAAAGAAUGGCAAAAAUACAGGUAUCAAAAGAUUAUUAGCACCUUCUAGACACAGUCUUUUCACAGUUCCUGUUUCCAGAACUACACCACUCUAAUUAGCGUAACAACUAUUGCUACAUUCAGAGUGUCAACAGUAACAUUUGAUGACACAGAAACCUUGAAGAGACUCAUUUCAUCCAUUGUUCUGUCAAGAAUUUGUUUGAAAAAUCUGGUUUAUGUCUGCUCUUCGCCUGUAUUUCUCCUAGAGUGUGCAGAGAAAAGGAACAACAAUGGCAUCCAUUCUUGGGGUUAAGGUGAAUGCAACAAUAUAUCAUGGAGAAAAUCUGCUUUCUUCCAGAACAUCAAUGCGCAAACAUACUGCAGCAACAUGAACUAUUCUGAUGAGGUUAGAUGUAUUUACAUGGUAAAAGAUCUCCACAUCAAAAUGUAGAUGCCACACAAAACAAAAGACAAGCCAAG